AUUGAACGCUGGCGGCAGGCCUAACACAUGCAAGUCGAACGAGUGGCGGACGGGUGAGUAAUGUCUGGGAAACUGCCUGAUGGCGGGGGAUAACUACUGGAAACGGUAGCUAAUACCGCAUACCAUCAGAUGUGCCCAGAUGGUAUGAGCGUGUUGGUGGGGUAACGGCUCACCAAGGCGACGAUCCCUAGCUGGUCUGAGAGGAUGACCAGUUAAACUGGAACGGCGCCCCGUUCCAGACUCCUACGGUAGGCAGCAGUGGGGAAGAUUGCACAAUGGGCGCAAGCCUUAUGCAGCCAUGCCGAGUGUAUGAAGAAGGCCUUCGGGUUGUAAAGUACUUUCAGCGGGGAGGCGUUACCCGCAGAAGAAGCACCGGCUAACUCCGUGCCAGCAGCCGCGGUAAUAC
rnacentral:rRNA from 1 species